rnacentral:lncRNA from 1 species
CCUGCUAAUUAAGCAGGAACAAAUCAAUGGUUAAAAGAUCCCAGCUUUCACACCUUGAAUUUCACCCUCAUAUUUGCACUUCAUUUGGUGUACUUAAGUGCCAGUGAAUUGAGACAACUGGAAGUUGGCGGAAUGCAUGUGAUGUCUCAAUCUCUCUAAUAUGUUUUCUAUUAACUGGAUGUCAUUAAAGACAAAACAAGAAGGAUAUUGCUUGGUUUAGGUCUAAUCUUGUUCCAAGGUUAAAAGAGAAGCAAUUAGGCGUCGAAAGAGGAAAAAAGAUUUGGAGUCUGUCAGACAGCUAUGAGACCAUCCCAGGCCUGGCAAACAGAGCUGAGAACGAUCCUCUACUGCUCCAAGGCCACACAAGUAACCAUGGUAGACUUGUUAAUCACGCUCUAGUCUCAUAGCCAUGCCUCGUCAACCAGACUUGGUUUUCUGUCUCCUUAGAACUCAAGGAUACAGUCGUACGAGCCUAUAGAACAGAUCCUGUUCAAGUAAGGUCGUGCCCAUCAGUUGUAAUGAAUGGCUCGAUAAACAGCAGAUUGAUAAGUUAGCGGGCCGAUGUGGGACAGCUCUUAUGCCAAUCUUCAACCCUGACAAACUACUAGGUUUUCCACUCACUGGCAACGUAAACAAAUCAAAUCAUAAUACAAUAGAAGUCUACUGGGUGAUUUUGAUUCGUGUGGAGAAAACAAAAAUACUGACAAUGAACUUAAUUUUGAAUCAAAAACCAUUCCAUUUUUUAAAAAGAAAAUCUCGCUUGCAUUAUACAUUAUAGCAUUAUACCAACUUCCUUACACCCUAGAGUAUAUUGAAUCAACAAUCUUACCUGCGGGUGAUUUCUUUGAACUUUGCCAAGAUUUCAAUCUCGUCACACAGAAAGCCUAUUUUCCUUCUCCGGCAGUCCACCGGAGUUCAUCUUUGGGGGGAGGUGAGAGGAGAAGAUGU